rnacentral:snoRNA from 1 species
GUUGGUAAAAAUAAGUGAAGGAAACCAGAGCAAACUGUGGUCCCGAACCAUUGCCUGGCCUCGCUCUGUGGGCUACUGGCACUGAAGGGGGUUGCACAGAG